ACAGUAAGGCAACCUUAGUUUUUUAAACAGCUUGGUUAAAAACCAGUGUCAUUAGCUUGUAUUUUAGCUGCAUGCCAGCAGCUAAUGGUAAGCUAGUUGAGUGACUUUUUUUUAUGCUAGUGGAGUGAGCUGGUCACUCAGAGCCGAGUCAGCAUUUGAAAAGGAAUAUAGCUUUGUGUGUAAGUAUAUUAUCGGCCACAUUUUGUGAUAAAAUAUACUAUGCAUUGCCUUUGAGGAAAGCAGAGAUUGAAAAAUACGUCAGAUAUUUCUGUAUGUUGUGACAGAAAAGUGACUUUUGGACAGUUGUUUAGCCCUAGCCUGAAUGAUAGCAAAUACAAAGGAAAAAACUAGUAUGAUUAGUUUUCCACCACUACGUAAUUGUUGCUGCCUGCUUCAAAAUUGUGGCAGACGCACAAUAAUGGUCAACUGGUUACCAUUCUGCUUCUUUAGCCUAAUGUUCUCACUACAGCUGUUAUGGCUCUACUGAACUACAUAGCUGUUAAAUGAUUAGCUGUUUGUCUGUCUCUCAUUGCGUCCAAGGAUAUGAUAGGUUGUUUGAAUGAGCCAGGCAGGGAGCACUGGGACUGUCAGAUGAUUGUAGUUUUGAAAACAUUACUCAUGUAAUAUAUUCCCAAAUAUUUUAGAAGAACAUUUAUUUCUGCAUGUAUAUGUUCAUGAAUACAAAAGGCUCUUCUGUAUAAUUAAUAAUACAUAACUAUAUAUGAUUUUCCUGACAGUCCUGGAAAAUGCAUGAAUUACCAUUUUUAUAUCAAACAAACAGUGCUUUUUUUCCCACACCUAGAGUUUGUUAUGUGUUGAAUGAUAUAUCACUUUCAUGUUUCAGUGCUAUCCCAACUGUAAAACUAAACAUGUGCUUGCUCUUAAUAUGUUCAAGUUGUAACUGUUUGCUUAUCACAAGUCUGAUUGAUAUUAAAUAGACUGUACUUAUAUUUUACAGGUCUUCCAUACAUUGCUGAGCUUGAGGACUAGACAGUCUGCAUUUAUUUGUGGCUCUUCAGUAGUGGUAGAAGCAGAGUUUACUCAUGCAACAGCUGGAUCAUCAUUCUACACGGCUGAUGACAAUCUUUAAACGUAAAGGAGGAGCAGCAGGGCGGAAAAUAAGGAAUAUCAUGGUGGACCUGGAUAAGAAUGAAGCUGUUGAAACAAGAAGAGCCUGUGUACUGAAAGCACUAAUGGUUUACUUCAAUGAAGACCCUGAAAAUCUCAUAAGAGAGUACAUGUGGAAAGCGGGUGUUGACCCAUGCCCCACCUCACCCUGCCGCCGCCGGACAGUCAC